AUGAUGGACGACGGCAGCCGGCCGACCCUCUCGACGCCCUCCUCGAAGACCACACCCAUGCCCAUGAACACAUGCGCCUCCACGUGGCAGUGGAACAGCCACACCCCCGGGUUGUCCGCCCGGAACCGCACCGCCGUCCACCCAUCCGGGUGCAGCGGCACCGUGUUCUUCAUGAUCGGAUCUCUCACGUUGAGCAGCCUCCAGGCGUCCGCGGCCGGGUUGAACUUACCUUCGCCGUGGCCGAGCACCCAGAAGUCGUGCCCAUGGAGAUGCCACGGGUGCGUCUCGCUCUUGUUGUUGAGCAUGUUGGAGUUCUGCAGCACCACGUCCACCACGGAGCCGAGCGCCAGCCGGUACACCGGGCUGCCCACGGUCCCGUUCGUCGGCGCCGGCGCGGAGAUGUCGUGGCUCAUGUGGUCGUACAUGUCGGGCGGCGGGCGUUGCUCGUACGCGUCUUUCAUGCCGCGCUUCAUCGCCACGAGGUACGGCGUGGCCGGGAACAUGAGCGACACGCCAUUGAUGGUCCACUUGAUGUGGCCAUCGAUCCGGUUCUGGGUGUUGAGGAGGAGCAGCGUGCGGUCGGCCCUCGCCGGCAUGGGCUCGACGAAGCGUGGGUGCGCGAAGAUGGCCCUGCUCUGCUCCACCCUGAUAGCCGUGUUGUUCCAUGCCGGGCCAGCCGGUGGCGCCGUGGGCGGAGGCAUCCACGGGUUGUUGCCGUUGAAGGCGUAG
rnacentral:rRNA from 1 species